UUGUUUCAAUGGCUUUUAAAUUUGGCAAGUACUGCUACACUUUCCCGAAGUGACAGUGGGCCCUCGCAGCAACCCUCCUACCUGUACCCUCAGAAGUGAUACUUACAUAGCCCAGGAAGUGCUUCAUUAUGACUCUCCUGGCUUCUCGUCUAUAAUACUGGCCAACAUCAAGGGCUGCCAGGAGAGUUCACAGAGCUGAAGACUGUCUCCUUCACACAAGGGAGUUGUGCCAGAAACUGCAGGUUGCCUUCCUAACAUCCAUUCUUCCCUUUCUACUCUCUCACACAGGCCUGAUUUUGUUGAGAGCAGCAAUGUACCCAGCUGAAAAGCACUUCUCAGUUUUCCCUUACCUAUAGAUGAAACUAAGUGAUUAGGUUUUAGGUAAUGGAGUCUAGGUAGAGAUUGUUGGGCAAGGCUUCUGGGGAAGUUCCUUAAAAAGGGGUUGGGGUUUGGCUCAGCUGCCAGGCACAUUAUACCCUUCCCUCCCUUUCUUCCUUCUUCCUACCUGUAAUGUAGGUGAGCCAUUAGGAGCCACAGCAGUUCUUUUGUGACCGUGAGGGAAACCUGAAGCCAGAAGCCAAGUCAAAGUAUAGCAGAACCUCAAGACCAAAGGGGCCAUGAACAUUGGUGAUGUUGUGGAGCCACCAGAAUAACCCUGUUCUUUGUGAACUUCUUUCAGAUGAAGGAAAAUAAAUCCUGAUAUUGUUUAAG
rnacentral:lncRNA from 10 species